UUCGCUCCCAAUCAUCUAGUACAGUGCUCACCGUUGAUUGAUCGGCUGGCCACCUGGUCACAGUCCCUUGGUGAACAGGAGGCAGCGAGGCUUGCUUCUAGGAGGGUUGAUUUAACCCACCCCUAUGGGGCAGGAAGCCGCGAACCGGCCCCCUGAGGACGAGGACAGAGCGGGUGAGCUACACCGCUAAGGGGCUGGCGUCGGCACACGCCAGAGAGCCCAGGGCCAGGCUGAGCCAAGAGAGGCAAGCAGGUCCUGGGGAAAUGGCGUUCUCACCUGUCCAGCCCAUGCUCCCCUCCUACAGUUCUGGGUCCUGGCGGGACAGAAACGGGGACGGAGAGGAGAACUCCAGAUGCUGAGAGCCCCAGCCUCAUGGAACUGGAAAUCCGGAGGUGGGGAAAUAAUAGAAAUUAUAUUUGCUAAGCGCUUACUAUGUGCCAAGCACUGUAGUGAGCGUUGGAGUACAUACAAGAUACUCAGGUCAGAUGCAGUCCCUGUCCUCUUUGGGGCUCAGUCUGUCGGGCAGGCGGAACCCCCAUUUCACAAGUGAGGAAACUGAGGCCGAAGAAGUGAAGCGGCUUGCCCGAGGUCAUCUAGCAGGCAAGUUACAGUCAGAAUUAGAACCCGGGUCCUCUGAGUCCUAGGUCCAAGCCCUUGAGGGCACACUCCAUGGGGAUCUGAGAUUAAUUGCAUAGCGACUAUCAAGUGCCCAGCACUGGACCAAGGAUACUCGGAUUAGGAGCUAGGAUCCCUCCCUUCAAGGAGCUUGCUUUCUGAAAUGCUGACUGGCCCAACCCCCUCAAAUGGAGAGCCCAAGGGAGGGAAAAGGGGACGGUCCUGACUGACUGCCCAGCCUCUGUAGCCUCCCCACCCCCAGUCCUCCCCCAAAAUGUAAAUAAACCAUGCGAAUGUG